UUCACCUUUUGUUUGACUGAUGAGAGGGGUGCUUAUAAGGAAACCAUGCAAUGAGAUCAUUUCAAUUGCUAUGAUCAUUGUAAUAGGUCUACGUACUACGGCGGUAUUAUGAUGACAGCAGAAAAUUCAUGUAAAAUGUGAAUGUAAUAGUGGUCGCCCUUCUAUCACCAUGUGGCGAGAACUUUCCGGCCAUGGAUGAUCAUCAUGGGGUUAAUGUUUAUAAAGACUAAUGAGUCACCAAUCAAGUUUAUCAACCUCAGGUUCUUGUGGGAUCUCGCCCGGGGCAAUGAAGGGAGGUUGAAGUGGGUUGUGCUGGUUCACAGGGAAAAAGGUGGAGUUCCACCUGUCGAUAGGCUGGAUGGUGUAGCGGUCAGAAUCGAAAGAGUCCAUCAUUAUGAAGGUUAGUGCGUUGAGGCGGCAGUCGAUAACGUGACAAAGUUGAGGGAAUAGCUGUGAUGAGGUGGUGGUUGUGCAGGUUGGCAUGGUCACUGGCUACCCGAUGUUCUAUUAUAUAGAAUAUCCCUAUAAUCAUAUUCACCCAUUCGAUCUUAGAAGGUCUGCAGGUUGUAAAAGCUCCUCUAGAUUGAUGAGCGUUUUAUCACCAGAAGGUCGUAGAUUCCAAGAAUAGAAGGUUCGCGACGUGUCACAAACGAGCUGAGGAAAAGGCGUUGUGGAAGGAUGGAAUGAGAAAGGAGAUGAUAAGGUCGUCCUCAAUGAUGCCAUACUAAGUAGUCGGUGG
rnacentral:sRNA from 1 species